GACGAACGCUGGCGGCGUGCCUAAUACAUGCAAGUCGAACGAGAGCGCCCGGUGCUUGCACUGGUCAAUCUAGUGGCGAACGGGUGAGUAACACGUGGGUAACCUGCCCAUCAGAGGGGGAUAAAAUCCGGAAACGGAUGCUAAAACCGCAUAGGUCUUCGAACCGCAUGGUUUGAAGAGGAAAAGAGGCGCAAGCUUCUGCUGAUGGAUGGACCCGCGGUGCAUUAGCUAGUUGGUGAGGUAACGGCUCACCAAGGCCGUGAUGCAUAGCCGACCUGAGAGGGUGAUCGGCCACAUUGGGACUGAGACACGGCCCAAACUCCUACGGGAGGCAGCAGUAGGGAAUCUUCCGCAAUGGACGCAAGUCUGACGGAGCAACGCCGCGUGAGUGAAGAAGGUUUUCGGAUCGUAAAACUCUGUUGUUAGAGAAGAACAAGUGCUAGAGUAACUGUUAGCGCCUUGACGGUAUCUAACCAGAAAGCCACGGCUAACUACGUG
rnacentral:rRNA from 1 species